CCGACGUUGGACCCCUUUGAAUGAUACUGACUGACCAGUCUCGCUUUUCUCUCCUUCGGUGGGGGCAAAGAAGAGUCUAACUAGCCCUACUAGCCCUAGCCCGAGAACUAGCCCAGCUCUGUAGACUAACUGUAGACUGUAGAGAGUAUGUAGACUGGAGGUGCCGGUGAAGCCGUGUAUGGCGGCUCAGGGUUCCUAUCUAUCUACCUACCUAUCUAUCUUUCCCAGCCCGUCCCAUCCUCCCUCCC
rnacentral:lncRNA from 1 species